rnacentral:rRNA from 1 species
GACGAACGCUGGCGGCGUGCUUAACACAUGCAAGUCGAACGGAAAGGCCCUGCUUUUGUGGGGUGCUCGAGUGGCGAACGGGUGAGUAACACGUGAGUAACCUGCCCUUGACUUUGGGAUAACUUCAGGAAACUGGGGCUAAUACCGGAUAGGAGCUCCUGCUGCAUGGUGGGGGUUGGAAAGUUUCGGCGGUUGGGGAUGGACUCGCGGCUUAUCAGCUUGUUGGUGGGGUAGUGGCUUACCAAGGCUUUGACGGGUAGCCGGCCUGAGAGGGUGACCGGCCACCUUGGGACUGAGGUAAGGCCCAGAAUCCUACGGGAGGCAGCAGUGGGGAAUAUUGCACAAUGGGCGGAAGCCUGAUGCAGCAACGCCGCGUGCGGGAUGACGGCCUUCGGGUUGUAAACCGCUUUCGCCUGUGACGAAGCGUGAGUGACGGUAAUGGGUAAAGAAGCACCGGCUAACUACGUG